CUUGAACAGCGAGUGACCCGCGACGAAAGUCGCCUUCCCGCAAGGACACUCGUAGAGGUGCUGCAUGGCUGUCGUCAGCUCGUGUCGUGAGAUGUUGGGUUAAGUCCCGCAACGAGCGCAACCCUUGUUUUGCUGUUGCCAUCAGGUAAAGCUGGGCACUCUGCAAAGACUGCCGGUGAUAAACCGGAGGAAGGUGGGGAUGACGUCAAGUCAGCAUGGCCUUUAUGUCUGGGGCUACACACGUGCUACAAUGGCCGGUACAAACCGUCGCAAAACCGUAAGGUGGAGCUAAUCGGAGAAAGCCGGUCUCAGUUCGGAUUGUAGGCUGCAACUCGCCUGCAUGAAGUUGGAAUCGCUAGUAAUCGCGGAUCAGCACGCCGCGGUGAAUACGUUCCCGGGCCUUGUACACACCGCCCGUCACAUCACGAAAGCCGGUUGUACUAGAAGUCGCCACACCAACCCGCAAGGGAGGGAGGCGCCUAAGGUAUGGUCGGUGAUUGGGGUGAAGUCGUAACAAGGUAGGCGUAGAUGA
rnacentral:rRNA from 1 species